rnacentral:rRNA from 1 species
CUACGGGUGGCUGCAGUGGGGAAUAUUUGACAAUGGGGGCAACCCUGAUCCAGCCAUGCCGCGUGUGUGAAGAAGGCCCUCGGGUUGUAAAGCACUUUCAGUGAGGAAGAACGCCUGGUGGUUAAUACCCAUCAGGAAAGACAUCACUCACAGAAGAAGCACCGGCUAACUCCGUGCCAGCAGCCGCGGUAAUACGGAGGGUGCGAGCGUUAAUCGGAAUUACUGGGCGUAAAGCGCGCGUAGGUGGCUUGAUAAGCCGGUUGUGAAAGCCCCGGGCUCAACCUGGGAACGGCAUCCGGAACUGUCAAGCUAGAGUGCAGGAGAGGAAGGUAGAAUUCCCGGUGUAGCGGUGAAAUGCGUAGAGAUCGGGAGGAAUACCAGUGGCGAAGGCGGCCUUCUGGACUGACACUGACACUGAGGUGCGAAAGCGUGGGUAGCAAACAGGAUUAGAUACCCCAGUAGUC